rnacentral:rRNA from 1 species
GACGAACGCUGGCGGCGUGCCUAAUACAUGCAAGUCGAGCGCAGGAAGUCGACGCUUCCCUUCGGGGGGAUGUUGAUGGAAUGAGCGGCGGACGGGUGAGUAACACGUAAAGAACCUGCCCUCAGUUCUGGGAUAACCACGAGAAAUCGGGGCUAAUACCGGAUGGGUCAUCGGACCGCAUGGUCCGAGGAUGACAGUCGCUUCGGCGUCGCCUGGGGAUGGCUUUGCGGUGCAUUAGCUAGUUGGUGGGGUAAUGGCCCACCAAGGCGACGAUGCAUAGCCGACCUGAGAGGGUGAUCGGCCACACUGGGACUGAGACACGGCCCAGACUCCUACGGGAGGCAGCAGUAGGGAAUCUUCCACAAUGGACGAAAGUCUGAUGGAGCAACGCCGCGUGAACGAUGAAGGCCUUCGGAUCGUAAAGUUCUGUUGUAAGGGAAGAACAAGUGCCGAAGGAAAUGGCGGCACCUUGACGGUACCUUGCGAGAAAGCCACGGCUAACUACGUG